GAAAAUAUAUGGUAAUUUAAGUAACUAACAGGGAAGAAAAGAUUCUCUUUAUUCAACCAUAAAAUUAUCAAUAAAGAAAGUUUCAUGAGUGCCAUCUGUUGAGAUAUUUAAUAUUAAACUAGAUAAAUAAAUUAAAAAGACUACCUCCUGCAGUUAGAGGCAGAUCCCAAACUGAGUCACAGAAGAUCCUGAGAUAAAUACAAUCAUUUUUUUUUUUUUUACUAGGGGACAUGAGAUCUUGUAGGAAUUGUAAUUAGUUCAUGAAUAGCUGCCAUGAAGCCCUCUUCAUAAUUUGGAGGUAAACACCGGCAGUGUGUGAUCUUUCACAAGAUGGUUGAUCUCCAGAAGUGGAUCCUAGUCCUGUUUACUUCCUCUUCUUUUAAAUAGAAUAUCCAGAGCUUCCGAGGAAAUGCUUUGGGUCUGAAAUCUUGCUGAUCUUAAGGCUGCUCAGAAAUGAUGCCCAGCACUCUCCUUACUGUGCAGACUCACACGGGGAUCUUCUAGAAAGUGCUCUGACCAACACAUGCCACAGCCUGGGGAAGGAGCCACAAGUAUCAACAACUUGCCCCCAGGCCCUGCUCCCCACCCGCCCAGGCAGGACUAUUGUGAUGCUAUAAUUUCAAGGCCAUGGAAAGAAC
rnacentral:lncRNA from 12 species